GUCUACUGUCAUACCACCCUAAACAUGCCCGAUCUCGUCUGAUCUCGGAAGCUAAGCUGGGUCGGGCCUGUUAGUACUUGGAUAGGAGAAAUGUUAUGCUUUGAUGAGAUAAGAUUAAAAGAGAUAUAGUUUUCU
rnacentral:rRNA from 1 species